rnacentral:rRNA from 1 species
AAUGGCUGCAGUAAUAUAACUGUACAAAGGUAGCAUAAUCAUUAGUUUUUUAAUUAAAAGCUUGUAUGAAAGGUUGGACGAAGUAAAAUCUGUCUCUUUUUAAUAUAAUUAGAAUUUAAUUUUUAAGUCAGAAAGCUUAAAUAUUUUUAAAAGACGAGAAGACCCUAUAGAGUUUAAUAAUUUAUUUUAAGUAAUUAAUUUAGAUUUAUUUAUUUUAUUUAUUAUGAAAUUAUUUUAUUGGGGUAAUAGAAAGAUUAAUAUAAUUCUUUUUUUUUAUUUACAUUAAUAUAUGAAUUAAAUGAUCCAUUUUUUAUGAUUAAAAGAUUAAAUUACCUUAGGGAUAACAGCGUAAUUUUUUUUAAGAGUUCAUAUCGAUAAAAAAGUUUGCGACCUCGAUGUUGGAUUAAAGAUUAAUUUAGGUGUAGAAGUUUAAAUUUUUGGUCUGUUCGACCAUUAAAUCUUUACAUGAUCUGAGUUCAAACCGGUGUAAGCCAGGUUGGUUUCUAUCUUUAAAAAAUUUUUAUAUUUUAGUACGAAAGGACCAAAUAUUUAAUAUAUUAAAUAUUUAAUUAUUUUGAAUAU